UCUGACUCUCCAGUGACAUGGAUGUCAGAUAUCUAAAUAUAACGGAAGCAUCAGACCAUUAGGAAGGAAGGAAGUGCGGAGGAUGCUAGACAACUAUGCACGUGACCCUCACGCCAACCCAUUAGAAGCUGCCCUGCAGCAGAGACCGCCGAUAUCUCUACAAGAGCCACACUGAUCAAGUUCAGUCCUUGACUCGAAGAAGACUGGUGGUUCAGUACACAGAAGUGCUAUUUUCAUUAGUUGAUACAUCUGCUUUGUGGGAAGGAAGUUCAACCCCACCAGUAUCCAGAAACCUGAGUUUUGAGUGACUUAGGUUUACAGCCUGGUCCCCGCCAUCUGCUGCAAACAAUGGGGUGUAAGGUAAGAAAAGGGGACUCUACUUAACCUAGUGUCUUCUUUUAACCCAACAUACAAUACACAGUACCAUGCUAGACUAAGGAAGAAGGGGAGAGGAAACACUGAAAAUUGCAAAGUGUAUAUUUACAUACAAGAAGUUGCAGACAUGUAAAACUGGGAAAGACGUGCAGGAAAAGAAGGCAUGUAUCAGGUCACCAGCCCAGCUUGGACAGCUUCAAGUCAACGUGAAGUGAGUUGAGCAGUCUGUUUAAACCUCCUGAGCCUCACCUAGAGCCACUUCCCAGGCAUCUUCUAAAAAUGAUCUUGUGGGGAAAGUGUCUAGCAUAUAGUAGGACCCAAAGAAGAACAUGGUUAACGGAAGACCAUAAUCUGUUCCAAUGGUGUCUGAAAGAACAGGAAAUCACGCAAGUGAUAAUGGCUAAGUGAUACUGCUUUCUUUCUGAUGACUCUAAGAACUCAGAGCUGACACACACAGAGGCAUGCACUGACAUGCACACACCUGUCCUCUCUGCCCUGACCAUGCUAAUCUACUGUAGAGCUCUAUCUUCCUUUAUUACAUUGGAAACACUGUGAAUGACACAUGGGGAUCUGUAUUUUCAAGAAUCUACCCACAUUAAUCUCACACAUGGUUAGGUUAGAGAACCCAUGGUUUGUAAGGAGAGAAACCAAGGGAUGGCAACUGUGUCUACCUAACAAGACUGGGAUGAAGUAGGUUUUGUGAAACUGAACAAAAACUGUGUGUGGGAAAAGCUAGCGGGUGAAGGUAGAGCCCAUGCCAAGGGGUAUUGUAAGCAUGAGUGUGCACAGCAGGUACCGUGCCACGGGAUACAGGACACACACAUACACACACAUGAGUGUGCACAGCAGGUACCAAGCCAUAGGAUACAGGACACAUGGAGUGUGCACAGUCGGGGGUCCCUUUAGCCGAAGGCACUGAGACAGCCUGUGUACAAGAACCACCUGAGCUUUGCUGCCUCUGUCAGUCACUCCAUCCUUCACCAAUGAUCCUCUGAACACCAGUUCUUGUUCUCAUUUCUUCUAGCUGUUUCCCUCAGUACACUUGCUUUAAAUUAAAGUAGCCUCACUGUGCUGCCCAGGAUAAGGUGCAAUGGCCACUCACAGACACAACAGCAUUACGAAUAAGCACAUGAGUUCUGAUCAGUGCUAUUUCUGUACUGGGAUGGCUUACUACUUCUAUGCCAAGCAGUCCACAUCCCUACUGGGCAUAGUGGACUAUUUCCUGGAAUUUCUGAGCUCAAGCAAAGCCCCUGUCUCAGCUGGGUUGGAUAUCAGCAACCACUCUUAGGCAGAACAGCUUUGACAAUGUAAUAGACAUCAUGCCAUUUAGUCAGCUACUGUAUUAUGCUGUAUUAUCUUAGAACGUAUUUAAUCUCUGUGUUUUCUUUUCUUCAUUCUGUAUGUGAACCACCUAUUUGGCCUAAUUCAUACAAAUGCUGCAGUACUCCGAAGACAUAACAUGUCUGAAAGCAUUUUCCAAUCUCAAAGCAUCACACAAAUUUAAUACUCACCAUCCCUUUUUACAAUCAGCCAUCUGUCCUAAUACACAUGUGUGCGUACGAGGUGUGGAAGGGGAGCGUUAGCCAGGAAUGCCUCUCAGCAGAUUAUCGCAAGGGAUUAAAGGAGAGACAAGCUGGUCAUCUGCAUGGCGAAUGAUCAAUGUCACAAGACCAGGGCAGUUCAGACCAGGUUAAGAGGAGCUCAAAGAAAUGCUCCCUACUCUAUUUCAAAGUCCUCAAGGCCAGUCCUGCACACACAGUGAGGAAGACUGAAUCGAGUGAGACAAAUAUGAAGGAUAACUUGAGGUAGAUGAGCAAUGGCUGUGUAGCUCACAAGCUAUUUCUGAGAAGGAAAAAUACUAAUGUAGGGGCGAGGGCAGUCACCUACAUCAAAUCCAUGAAGAGCAAAGAGUCCACUGUAACACAGUUAGGUAGGCAGUUCUGAUCAAACACAUUUACGCUGACACAAGAGAACACCUGUAAGGAUACAAGAAGCAUGGCCCCAGACAAACAGUCAUGCUGUUGACGCUGACUCUUCCUGUAUUACAAGAUAAGCAGUCUUUAUCGGGACUGAAGGAGACGAAAUGCCAAGGAACUCAGGUCAAAUUGUAGCUACCUCCCUCUGCCUCGAUCAAGGAGAUGCUACACACCAUGUAGCACAGUCGUCUAAGAGACCCAACAGUCAGCUACACACCAGCAUAGUGCAGUCACUUAGCACAUCCAGCUGUCAGUUAAGUCACACAGCACUCUAGCACAGUCACUUAACAAACCCAACUGACAGGCUUGUGAUAUUUUCACAUGUAUUUUCCAAUGAAACUUUUAAAAAAAGAAAAGAAAAAAAAACUCAUUUGAUAGAACAGAUCGCAAAACCCUUGACAUGGGAAUUACACGAAAGGCUCAUUAAAGAGACAGGUUUUAGUGAGUCCCCAUAAAGAAAAACAACCACCACCACACAGAGCUUACUUGAUGGCAAAUUAUGAGGGAGAUAAAUGUAAGACACUAAAGCAAGUGACAUUCGUAAACAUGGGCAGCCGAUUUGCCUUCUUAUGCACUGGCCUUCGUGCCAGACCUGCCCAGAGAAUGCCUCCACCGCUAGUUUUCCUUUUAAAAUGCAACCAGUGUAAAACAUAAACAGAACUUCAUGAGGCAGAACACUGGCAAGGCCUGUGGUGUACACAAACAGGAAUCCAGUCACCAAGGUCAACAAUGACUAUGCACACGAACCCUAGUAAAAUCUCCUUUGGUCACUGUCCAGGGACCCACACUGGUGACACACAGGCCUGCCCAGGAAGCUGAGCAUCAUGGAUACCACUUAUACCCAGAGCUUUCUGGGUGAAAGAUAAAGUUAAAAAAAAAAACAAAAAAACAAAAAACCCAGUCCUGAUUUAGUAACUCUGUGAAGUCACUUAGAUAACGCACCUCUCAGGGAAGUGCAUUAUUCUGAUCCAAUUACAUCUGAAAGAUAAGUAAUUUGUCCCAAGGUAAAUUAUCAGUGUCAGGGAAAAAGAGCCCAACUUCCUGGCAGCCUGAGUCACAUCCCAGUCCCAAUGACAUGCUGGCCCAACAAUUUCUGAUGUCAAACAGGGGUCAUGAUAUUUGGGCAAGCUAAUGUUUGCCUCUGCCCUCAGCACACAGAAGAUGGAAAGUAAUUAUGUGCAUGACAACUGAUAGAGAGAGCUGGAAUUUGGCCUCUUGGACUAUAGAACAGAAGUCAGAAUGUGGAGGACUGUACUGUGUGCUACAGGGUCACUACAUAGUCCUUUUUAAACAAUACUUCUUAUUUUUAUUGGCAGGGUGAUUGAACCUAUUUGGGGACUACAGUGUAUGAUGUGUAUAACUGGCAAUAAUCAAAUGGGCAUUUUAGGCAAUCUAUAGUAUCAAAUGUUUGUCUUCUUUCUUUCUUUCUUUCUUUCUUUCUUUUUUUUUUUUUUUUUUUUUGUAUAUGUUGGGAACAUCAAAAUCCUCUCUGCUAUCUACACUGAGGUAUUCAAGUGUUUUCUUAUUUAACUUUUACCUAUCACAGAGCUAAGUUUCUAUAGACUAUUACAAAAGAAAAAAAUCAAGAGCCAUGAGUGAAAGACAUCAAGCUUAAGUGUCCUGCUGAGCCAGAGCUUUCCCAAGUUACACAAUGGUAAAAUGUAGGUGCUAUUUAAACUGAGGGUAAGAAAUAUGGGUAACACGCAAGAUAAAGUCACCGUGUUGACCUCUGAAAACCCUUUAACUUUGACACAGGCUAACAUGCAGAUGGCAUUUUUGAGAAGCCGCUACACUGGAGUCUGGUGUGAGGGGGAGGAGGGGCAGUCACUUACUCCAGUGUCGCUUACCUGGCAUCCAUCAUCCCUAGGUGCAUCCUUGGAGACAGAG